CUCGUGUUGUUUUUUUUUACAUAAUUUGGCUAUAUCUACUACAAUAUAAUGGAAAAAUAAGGAAGUACAAAAUAUUGUCAUUAAUUAAACUAGAGGCAUUGAAAUGUGAAAACCUAUUAUGGUAAAUAACCUUCAACCAAUGCAAAAAAAAACCCCCCCCCAGCCAUUAAAUUGAGUUUGAGUUUAGCAAGUAAAAUACAACAACACGAGUUGACCCCAUAUAAGAGAAUUGCUAUAAGGGGUUGCAACUUAACUGCGGAUAAUUUUCCAGUCGUUUUACCAAAAUUGAGAGUCGAACCAUCCAUUGGUUUUAUAGUCUGAGUGACUUAAGAUAUUGCAGAAUCUUUCCAUCCAGACUUUGCUAUUGGAAUAUGCUUGUUCAUUUUGCUUUGUGAGCUCAUUCAGUAUUGAUGAGAUUUAGCCAGAUGCUUGUCAUAUAGCAAAUUGUUUUUUCCUG
rnacentral:misc_RNA from 1 species